CCUACGGGAGGCAGCAGUGGGGAAUAUUGCACAAUGGGGGAAACCCUGAUGCAGCGACGCCGCGUGAGUGAAGAAGUAUCUCGGUACGUAAAGCUCUAUCAGCAGGGAAGAAAAUGACGGUACCUGACUAAGAAGCCCCGGCUAACUACGUGCCAGCAGCCGCGGUAAUACGUAGGGGGCAAGCGUUAUCCGGAUUUACUGGGUGUAAAGGGAGCGUAGACGGCAGCACAAGUCUGGAGUGAAAUCCCGGGGCCUAACCCCGGAACUGCUUUGGAAACUGUGCGGCUGGAGUGCAGGAGGGGUAAGCGGAAUUGCUAGGGUAGCGGUGAAAUGCGUAGAGAAUAGGAGGAACACCGGUGGCGAAGGCGGCUUACUGGACUGUAACUGACGUGGAGGCUCGAAAGCGUGGGGAGCAAACAGGAUUAGAUACCCCUGUAGUC
rnacentral:rRNA from 1 species